GACAAUUACUAUACUCUUGAAUCUAGAAAAGUAGAUAGAGACUUCACACACAGAAACCUUUCAUUUCCUUUCAGUCCUAUCAAGGAUCCCUCUUAAGGAAACUAGAACGAUGCAAAUGUCCUAACUUAGCCCAGCAAUUAUCUUCCUCCGUUGCUUUCUAUACUGCCUCAAGAGUUCCCUCCAUCAGUUUCUUCACCACUGUGAGACUACCCCUUCCAAAUCACCCUUUAGAAGUCAAGAUCCAACUUCAUUUGUACUCCUUGGAGGCAUACAAUCACUUCUUUCGCAAAAGAGAAGGUAACCUUCAGACUUAGGCAGGUCGGUGUGAUGGAAGCUCAAUGAUGACCACAUUUCUGUAAAAUUUCAUUCUUUAAAAAAUUAGUUUAAACUUUUCUGGUUUUUGAGAGUUUUGUAAUUUUAGGACUCUCCGGACUUUUUGGGACUAUUUUUAGUUUUGAAUUUUAUUUUGGUUUCUAAGCGUAACAACUGAUAAAACGGUUUUUCUGAAAGUGACAACUUUUUUGAAAUAACAAUUUUCAAGGAAACAA